rnacentral:rRNA from 1 species
AUUGAACGCUGGCGGCAGGCCUAACACAUGCAAGUCGAGCGAGAGACGGGCGGGUGAUUACUAUAUAGGGACUGCCCGCUAGAGGGGGAUAACUCAUGGAAACGGUAACUCAUACCGCAUCCUAGCGGCUAACGCCUAUGGGAUUAGCUAGUAGGUGAGGUAAUGGCUCCCCUAGGCGACGAUCCCUAGCUGGUCUGAGAGGAUGAUCAGCCACACUGGGACUGAGACACGGCCCAGACUCCUACGGAGGCAGCAGUGGGGAAUAUUGCACAAUGGGAGCAAGCCUGAUGCAGCCAUGCCGCGUGUAUGAAGAAGGCCCUCGGGUUGUAAAGUACUUUCAGUCGGGAGGCGUUACCGACAGAAGAAGCACCGGCUAACUCCGUGCCAGCAGCCGCGGUAAUAC